rnacentral:rRNA from 1 species
CCUACGGGAGGCAGCAGUAAGGAAUAUUGCGCAAUGGGCGAAAGCCUGACGCAGCGACGCCGCGUGGGGGAUGAAGGUCUUCGGAUUGUAAACCCCUUUCGGGAGGGAAGAUGGAAUGAGCAAUCAUUCGGACGGUACCUCCAGAAGCAGCCACGGCUAACUUCGUGCCAGCAGCCGCGGUAAUACGAAGGUGGCAAGCGUUGUUCGGAUUUACUGGGCGUACAGGGAGCGUAGGCGGUUUAGUAAGCCCUUUGUGAAAUCUCCAGGCUUAACCUGGAACAGUCGGAGGGGACUGCUAAGCUAGAGUACGGGAGAGGAGCGCGGAAUUCCCGGUGUAGCGGUGAAAUGCGUAGAGAUCGGGAGGAAGGCCGGUGGCGAAGGCGGCGCUCUGGAACGUUUCUGACGCUGAGGCUCGAAAGCGUGGGGAGCAAACAGGAUUAGAUACCCUGGUAGUCCACGCCUUAAACUAUGAAUACUAAGUGUCGGCGGUUUACCGCCGGUGCCGCAGCUAACGCAUUAAGUAUUCCGCCUGGGAAGUCGGCCGCAAGGUUGAAACUUAAAUGAAUUGACCGG